UACAGAGGUCUCAAGCGUUGUUCGGAUUCAUUGGGCGUAAAGGGUGCGUAGGCGGCGAGCUAAGUUUGGUGUGAAAUCCUGGGGCUCAACCCCAGAAAUGCACUGAAUACUGGUUUGCUAGAGGACUGGAGAGGAGAUUGGAAUUCACGGUGUAGCAGUGAAAUGCGUAGAUAUCGUGAGGAAGACCAGUGGCGAAGGCGAAUCUCUGGACAGUUCCUGACGCUGAGGCACGAAGGCUAGGGGAGCAAACGGG
rnacentral:rRNA from 1 species